GAUGAACGCUAGCGGCAGGCCUAAUACAUGCAAGUCGAACGGUGUCUUCGGACAUAGUGGCGCACGGGUGCGUAACACGUAUGCAACCUACCUUACAUUGGGGGAUAGCCUUUCGAAAGGGAGAUUAAUACCGCAUAAGACAGUAGCUGGGCAUCCAGCAGCUGUUAAAGAUUUAUCGAUGUAAGCUGGGCAUGCGUCCAAUUAGCUAGUUGGUGAGGUGACGGCUCACCAAGGCAAUGAUUGGUAGGGGAACUGAGAGGUCAAUCCCCCACACUGGCACUGGGAUACGGGCCAGACUCCUACGGGAGGCAGCAGUAGGGAAUAUUGGGCAAUGGACGCAAGUCUGACCCAGCCAUGCCGCGUGCAGGAUGAAGGCGUUAUGCGUUGUAAACUGCUUUUAUACAGGAAGAAACGACUCUUGCGAGAGGCAUUGACGGUACUGCAUGAAUAAGCACCGGCUAACUCCGUGCCAGCAGCCGCCGUAAAAC
rnacentral:rRNA from 1 species